rnacentral:rRNA from 1 species
UACGGGGGGAGCAAGCGUUGUUCGGAUUUACUGGGCGUAAAGGGCGCGUAGGCGGCCACCGCAAGUCGACUGUGAAAUCUCCGGGCUUAACCCGGAAAGGUCAGCCGAUACUGCGGGGCUAGAGUGCAGAAGGGGCAACUGGAAUUCUCGGUAUAGCGGUGAAAUGCGUAGAUAUCGAGAGGAACACCUGCGGCGAAGGCGGGUUGCUGGGCUGACACUGACGCUGAGGCGCGAAAGCUAGGGGAGCGAACGGG